rnacentral:rRNA from 1 species
GGGUGCGUAACGCGUGGGAAACUUGCCCUUGAGCCUGGGAUACCCUGGCGAAAGUCAGGUUAAUACCAGAUGGUCCUUACUGCUCGCAUGAGUGGUUUGGUAAAGGUGGCCUCGACCGCAAGGUCGCUACUGUUCAAGGAGAGUCCCGCGUCCCAUCAGCUAGUUGGUAGGGUAACGGCCUACCAAGGCAUUUGACGGGUAGCUGGCCUGAGAGGGUGGUCAGCCACACUGGGACUGAGACACUGCCCAGACUCCUACGGGAGGCUGCAGUCGAGAAUCUUUGGCAAUGGGCGAAAGCCUGACCAUGCGACGCCGCGUGCGGGAUGAAGGCUUUCGGGUCGUAAACCGCUGUCACGAGGGACGAAGGUCUGUAGGCGAAUAGCCUGUCAGAUUUGACGGUACCUCGAGAGGAAGCCACGGCUAACUCCGUGCCAGCAGCCGCGGUAAUACGGAGGUGGCAAGCGUUGCUCGGAUUCACUGGGUGUAAAGGGUAGGUAGGCGGUCCUGUAAGUCGGGUGUGAAAGCCCAUGGCUCAACCAUGGAACUGCGCCUGAAACUGCAAGACUUGAGGACAGCAGAGGUGAAUGGAAUUCCCGGUGUAAGGGUGAAAUCUGUAGAGAUCGGGAGGAACACCAGUGGCGAAGGCGAUUCACUGGGCUGUCCCUGACGCUGAGAUACGAAAGCUAGGGGAGCGAACAGGAUUAGAUACCCUGGUAGUCCUAGCUGUAAACGAUGCGCACUAGGUGUUGGCUCACAUCUGUGGGUCAGUGCCGUAGGUAACCCGUUAAGUGCGCCACCUGGGGAGUACGGCCGCAAGGUUGAAACUCAAAGGAAUUGACGGGGGCCAGCACAAGCGGUGGAACAUGUGGUUCAAUUCGAUGCUACGCGAAGAACCUUACCAAGGCUUGACAUGCAAGAAGUAGGAACCUGAAAGGGCCACGACUCGUAACCAGUCGAGAGCUUGCACAGGUGCUGCAUGGCUGUCGUCAGCUCGUGCCGUGAGGUGUUGGCUUAAGUGCCACAACGAGCGCAACCAUCACUCACAGUUGCCAUCAGAUCCGCAAGGAUGCUGGGAACUCUGUGGGAACUGCCAGCGACGAGCUGGAGGAAGGUGGUGAUGACGUCAAGUCCGUACGGCCUGUAUGCCUUGGGCUACACACGUGUUACAAUGGAGCCGACAACGCGCUGCAAACCCGCGAGGGCAAGCUAAUCGCUUAAACGACUCCUCAGUUCGGAUCGCAGGCUGCAACCCGCCUGCGUGAAGUCGGAAUCGCUAGUAACGGCGGAUCAGCUACGCCGCCGUGAAU